rnacentral:rRNA from 1 species
AACGAACGCUGGCGGCAGGCUUAGCACAUGCAAGUCGAACGCCCCGCAAGGGGAGUGGCAGACGGGUGAGUAACGCGUGGGAACGUGCCCUUAGCUUCGGAAUAGCCCCGGGAAACUGGGAGUAAUACCGGAUACGCCGUACUGGGAAAGAUUUAUCGGCGAAGGAUCGGCCCGCGUUGGAUUAGCUAGUUGGCGGUGUAAUGGACCACCAAGGCGACGAUCCAUAGCUGGUCUGAGAGGAUGAUCAGCCACACUGGGACUGAGACACGGCCCAGACUCCUACGGGAGGCAGCAGUGGGGAAUCUUGGACAAUGGGCGCAAGCCUGAUCCAGCCAUGCCGCGUGAGUGAAGAAGGCCUUAGGGUUGUAAAACUCUUUCGCCGGUGAAGAUAAUGACGGUAGCCGGAGAAGAAGCCCCGGCUAACUUCGUGCCAGCAGCCGCAGUAACAC